rnacentral:rRNA from 1 species
GACGAACGCUGGCGGCGUGCCUAAUACAUGCAAGUCGAACGCAGUGGGGACGGGUGAGUAACCCGUGGGUAACCUCCCAUCAGAGGGGAUAACACUUGGAAACCGGUGCUAAACCGAUAUUGAUGGCUGGACCCUUGGUGAAUUACCUAUUUGGUGAGGUAACGGCUAACCAAGGCCACGAUGCAUAGCGGACCUGAGAGGGUGAUCGGCCACACUGGGACUGAGAAACGGCCCAGACUCCUACGGGAGGCAGCAGUAGGGAAUCUUCGGCAAUGGACGAAAGUCUGACCGAGCAACGCCGCGUGAGUGAAGAAGGUUUUCGGAUCGUAAAACUCUGUUGUUAGAGAAGCGGUAUCUAACCAGAAAGCCACGGCUAACUACGUGCCAGCAGCCGCGGUAAUAC